GUAGGUCCAAGCGUUAAUCGGAAUUACUGGGCGUAAAGCGUGCGCAGGCGGUUGUGCAAGACCGAUGUGAAAUCCCCGGGCUUAACCUGGGAAUUGCAUUGGUGACUGCACGGCUAGAGUGUGUCAGAGGGGGGUAGAAUUCCACGUGUAGCAGUGAAAUGCGUAGAGAUGUGGAGGAAUACCGAUGGCGAAGGCAGCCCCCUGGGAUAACACUGACGCUCAUGCACGAAAGCGUGGGGAGCAAACAGGAUUAGAUACCCUGGUAGUCCACGCCCUAAACGAUGUCAACUAGUUGUUGGGGAUUCAUUUCCUUAGUAACGUAGCUAACGCGUGAAGUUGACCGCCUGGGGAGUACGGUCGCAAGAUUA
rnacentral:rRNA from 1 species